AAGGCUGAGUGGUAAAGCGCUUGGCUUGAGAUCAGAUGGGUCCCAGGUUGGAAUCCUGGU
rnacentral:tRNA from 1 species